rnacentral:lncRNA from 1 species
AGGCUUGCGGCCAUACAUCUAUGGGCCCACCUAGGUGGCUUGGACAGUCCUACAAUAUGGGGCUAUACACCAAGACGUGUCAGACAUGGAGACUACGGUGCAGGACGGCGUGGUCUACGUGGAGGACAACGACUAGUCGAGGAUUAGAAAACUACUCGUAGUAGCUAGAGUAUGACUCUCUAGUUGAAUCCGACUAGUACUCUUAUAAAACAACUGACC